rnacentral:rRNA from 1 species
UACGGGGGGGGCAAGCGUUGUUCGGAAUUACUGGGCGUAAAGGGCGCGUAGGCGGCCUGCUAAGUCGGAUGUGAAAUCCCUCGGCUCAACCGAGGAACUGCAUCCGAUACUGGCGGGCUUGAAUCCGGGAGAGGGAUGUGGAAUUCCAGGUGUAGCGGUGAAAUGCGUAGAUAUCUGGAGGAAUACCAGUGGCGAAGGCGCUGGGCUGGACGGUCAUUGACGCUGAGGUGCGAAAGCGUGGGGAGCAAACAGG